rnacentral:lncRNA from 1 species
UUGGAGAUUAUAUGAGGGAACAAAGGUUAAUAAAGGUAAGGGGGGGACAUGAAACUAUUAAAUUUAAGAUUAAGAAAAGAAGAAUGCAUAUCACAAGGUGAAAGUCUUGGGUCUAGAUCACUAUCUUGAAUAUUAAAGAUCUCACAAUAAGUUCAAAAUAGAUCGGAGACGAGAUAAAAGAUAAAAUAAAAGACUAGAGGUUCUCAAGGCCGCGUAAGUUCGAGUUUGGACAGUAAGUGUAGUUAUGUUAAAGAGGCUAACAGACGAAUGGUUAUUAAACAUCAUUUCUUCUCUCGUCUGCGCUUACAAUCCUAACUUAUGGUUUUGACCAGGAAGAGAAGCAUCUAAUGUUUUUUUUUUUUUAUAGUAUCUAAGAAGCUACAAUAAUGGUUUUUGUAUGGUCAGUUCUAAAAUUCGAUAAAAAAAAGUAUGGUCAGUUCUAAUAAGUCAGCGGUAGCUCAAUCAUAUUGAAGUCAUAAGAUGUGUCUGCGUUAAGGUGGGGAUGUCGAGUAUGGGUUCAGAAGUUUGAAGGGUGUUUCCUAAGGUCAAACCCCACAUGACACCCAUAUCUAAACUUACAAAAAGGGGGAAAAUGCAGUGAACUAGACAUCGUACAUGUGAUACAGUUAUCAUCAAGUGUCUUCAUCUCUUAGUAGUUAGUACUAAAUAAAAUGUUUCUGUAACUCCACUGCACAGGUUCCAUAUCUACCCAUUUCUUAUUUUUACUUGGGUGGCUGUAAUCUUUAUAUAUUAUGACAAAGAUAUGUAGCUACUAGUUUGAGCUGAUAUUGAUGAUAUGUUGUUAUCAAAUUCAAAUACGAUAGAAUUCAUAUAUAUUUGAACUAAAUAGCUGUCAUCCGGUACGCGUGCUUUUACGCGGCAUCCUUCGUUUCUUCUUGGCUUCUGGAAAUUUUCUCAAUAACUGUAGAUCGUGAUGAUAUGCAAAUAUGGAGUCAAGCUUAGAACUCUCAAAGAUGAAUUUAAAAUGAAUCCAUGUAUGCAGAUGCAUUAUUAUUAGGAUAAAAACAUCUUUUAACUUUU